rnacentral:rRNA from 1 species
AGGUGGAGCGAUUUGUCUGGUUAAUUCCGAUAACGAACGAGACUCUAGCCGGCUAACUAGUCCGUCGAUGCCAUACGUCGUCGGCGCAUAGGACUUCUUAGAGGGACCAGUGGCGUUUAGCCACGCGAGAUUGAGCAAUAACA